rnacentral:rRNA from 1 species
CGAACGCUGGCGGCGUGCCUAAUACAUGCAAGUUGAGCGCUGAAGGUUGGUACUUGUACCAACUGGAUGAGCAGCGAACGGGUGAGUAACGCGUGGGGAAUCUGCCUUUGAGCGGGGGACAACAUUUGGAAACGAAUGCUAAUACCGCAUAAAAACUUUAAAUACAAGUUUUAAGUUUGAAAGAUGCAAUUGCAUCACUCAAAGAUGAUCCCGCGUUGUAUUAGCUAGUUGGUGAGGUAAAGGCUCACCAAGGCGAUGAUACAUAGCCGACCUGAGAGGGUGAUCGGCCACAUUGGGACUGAGACACGGCCCAAACUCCUACGGGAGGCAGCAGUAGGGAAUCUUCGGCAAUGGACGAAAGUCUGACCGAGCAACGCCGCGUGAGUGAAGAAGGUUUUCGGAUCGUAAAACUCUGUUGGUAGAGAAGAACGUUGGUGAGAGUGGAAAGCUCAUCAAGUGACGGUAACUACCCAGAAAGGGACGGCUAACUACGUG